UACGUAGGGAGCGAGCGUUGUCCGGAAUUACUGGGCGUAAAGGGUGCGUAGGUGGCGCUGCAAGUCAGAUGUGAAAUCCCCGGGCUUAACUCGGGGGGUGCAUUUGAAACUGCGGUGCUUGAGUGCAGGAGAGGAAAGCGGAAUUCCUAGUGUAGCGGUGAAAUGCGUAGAUAUUAGGAAGAACACCAGUGGCGAAGGCGGCUUUCUGGACUGUAACUGACGCUGAUGCACGAAAGCGUGGGGAGCAAACAGG
rnacentral:rRNA from 2 species